CAGCCCUAAACGAUGCGCGUUAGGUGUAUCGGUGACUACGAGUCACCGAGGUGCCGAAGGGAAACCGUGAAACGUGCCGCCUGGGAAGUACGGUCGCAAGGCUGAAACUUAAAGGAAUUGGCGGGGGGAGCACCACAACGGGUGGAGCCUGCGGUUUAAUUGGACUCAACGCCGGGAAGCUCACCGGAUAAGACAGCGGAAUGAUUGCCGGGCUGAAGACCCUGCAUGACCAGCUGAGAGGAGGUGCAUGGCGUAGUCGUGU
rnacentral:rRNA from 1 species